CGGAAGUGGCUCAGUGGUAGAGCAUCGCCUUGCCAAGGCGAGGGUCGCGGGUUCAAAUCCCGUCUUCCG
rnacentral:tRNA from 1 species